rnacentral:rRNA from 1 species
UACAGAGGUGGCAAGCGUUGUUCGGAAUUACUGGGCGUAAAGGGCGCGUAGGCGGCCUUCUAAGUCAGACGUGAAAUCCCCCGGCUUAACCUGGGAACUGCGUCUGAUGCUGGGAGGCUUGAGUAUGGGAGAGGGAUGUAGAAUUCCAGGUGUAGCGGUGAAAUGCGUAGAUAUCUGGAGGAAUACCGGUGGCGAAGGCGGCAUCCUGGACCAUAACUGACGCUGAGGCGCGAAAGCUAGGGGAGCAAACGGG